UGCCUUUCGGUCGGGUUUGUGCGAAAACGAACCCGGCCGACGGGUAAAGGGUUAGUUGCCUUUCGGUCGGGUUUGUGCGAAAACGAACCCGGCCGACGGGUAAAGGGUUAGUUGCCUUUCGGUCGGGUUUGUGCGAAAACGAACCCGGCCGACGGGUCAAGGGUUAGUUACCUUUCGGUUGGGUUUGUGUGAAAACAAACCCUACAAAUGGGUAAAGGGUUAGUUACCUUUCGGUCGGGUUUGUGCGAAAACGAACCCGGCCGACGGGUCAAGGGUUAGUUACCUGCGGUUGGGUUUCUGUGAAAACAAAGCCAGCCGACAGGUAAAGGCGUAAAAACUAAUGCAGUGACAACAAAAACCCCAGCGACUGAUGGAGGAGAAAAGUCCUCAAGUGACCCACCCACUCCCCAACUCCUCCUGAUGGAAAAGGCCUUCAUUGCCCCCACCGCUGAUGGAUGACCUCAGUGACCCUGCCAUCGGGCUCGGAUGUCUUCCUCAAGAAAUGCUGCAGGAAUUCUCCUGGAUCAUCUAGUUUUUAGUCUCAGAUUUCGCCCUUCAUCAGAUCCCCAUCAUCCGACAGAAAAGGCCCUCAUCUCCUCCUCCCACCCCCUGCUGAUGGAUGACCUCAGUGACCCUACGAUUGGGUUCAGCAGUUUUCCUCAAAAAAUGCUGCAGAUUUUGCCCUUCAUCGCCCCCCAUCGCCAGACAGAAGAAAUAGCCGAACUUGAAACACUUAUCAAAACAACAUCAGUUUAUCUUUUUUUUCUUCUUUUCUUUCUACCAUAAACUGGAUAAGUCCACAGUCUGGUACUUUGGCCUCAUCUAGACAUUCUUUUUUAGAAACUUCAUAAUUAAUUUUGUUUUAUUUAUUUUAGAUGUAUAAAAUGUCUUCUAAUUUUAGUGUUAAAUGUUAGAAUUUAUUGUAUAUUGAUUUUUGAGAAUGUGUUUUUGCAUCAUUUUAGUGUUGCCAUGGCUUUGACUGGUUUAUUGUGAUUUAUGCUGCUGUUUUUCUUUUCUUUUUUUUUUUUUACAUUAUUUAUUUCAACUGCUUUUGUUUUCUCAGUUAUUUUUCUUUCCAUAGGAGCUACAUCUGGUCUCCUGUUCUGAUUAGCUGUGGUUGCUUCCUGGAGGAGGGCAUUGACUGACAUGAUGCUGCCAUCACCCAACAGUUCUCUCUCUCCUUUUCAUUUCCAUGAACAUGGAAAGUUCUCCUGAUCAGUUGACCUGUUGUUGUGUCUCUGCUCUGUCUUCCCUCACCUCCAGUCGGUCGUGUCAGAUGGCUGCUGGUGCUGAGCCCGGUUCUGGUUCUGUCGAAGAUUUCUUCCUGGUAGAGUGGAGUUCUGCUGCACUGCCGCUACAUGCAUGCUCUGUAUUGGGGACUGCUGCAAAGUCAACGACUCAACACAAGCGAUUUGCUGUCGCCCCCUGCUGAUCAGGGAGAGUGAACGCUGUUAGUAACGACUCCGUAGAAUAUGCUGGGUUUAGUUUGGUACAAACUUUUUAAACUACUUUAAUAAUCAGCUGAGCUUAUGGAAUGCAAGUGAUUGAACUAAAAUUACUUCAAGGUGCAUUGAGAUGACAUUUGUUGUGAAUUGGCAAUAUAUAAAAUUGAACUUUCAAACUAAAAAUUAGCCCCACCAAUAAACGAUAUAUAAAAAACAAAAACCCCCAACAAUACAAGAAAGUUCAAAACCCUCAAAAUAGAUACCAAACAUUUAAAACCCCCAAAAUAGAUACCAAACAUUUAAAACCCUCAAAAUAGAUACCAAACAUUUAAAACCCCCAAAAUAGAUACCAAACAUUUAAAACCCUCAAAAUAGAUACCAAACAUUUAAAACCCCCAAAAUAGAUACCAAACAUUUAAAACCCCCAAAAUAGAUACCAAACAUUUAAAACCCUCAAAAUAGAUACCAAAGGGUUUAAAAGCCUAGUUAUAAAGCUAAUUCACAACAAUGUUGUUGUCAAGGCAUUUUAUGAAAAGUCAUUUCAAUUUAGUCAGAUUACAAUUGAUCCAAAUUAUCAAUUCAUUAUGUUCACUUAAUUAUAAAGUAGUUUAAAAAGUUUGUACCAAACUAAACCCAGCAUAUUCUACGGAGUCGUUACUAACAGCGUUCACUCUCCCUGAUCAGCAGGGGGCGACAGCAAAUCGCUUGUGUUGAGUCGUUGACUUUGCAGCAGUCCCCAAUACAGAGCAUGCAUGUAGCGGCAGUGCAGCAGAACUCCACUCUACCAGGAAGAAAUCUUCGACAGAACCAGAACCGGGCUCAGCACCAGCAGCCAUCUGCCAUGACCGACUAGAGGUGAGGGAAGACAGAGCAGAGACACAACAACAGGUCAACUGAUCAGGAGAACUUUCCAUGUUCAUGGAAAUGAAAAGGAGAGAGAGAACUGUUGGGUGAUGGCAGCAUCAUGUC